AAUAAAAUAGCUGACAUUUACUGAAAGUUUUAGCUUCAGCUGUGUUAACUCCUUACAGGCUUUCAAGGAGACUUGCAAGCAGCAGCUUAUUUUAAGCUGAUAUCAUGUCUAAGUUAAGGUCACAGUUGAUAUAAAAAUAAUGAUAGAAUUAAAUGCUGUGUUGGCUGAGUACAGGUGUAGGACAGUGGAGAUGUCUUCUCAUUUCCCAGCAUGGACAACACAUACUGUGGCUGACCUUGGAUAAAGGAGUCUUUCUCAGACUUCAAUUUCCCAUCUGUGAAAGGGGGCUAAUAUCUUCCUACUGCAGAGGCAUGUAGUGAAAAUAAUGUCUAUUCAUGUCAGUGAGGCACUUACCCUGUGAGGUUUAGAUAGACACUAGAUAGUUUCAGCAGCUAUAAUGCCAGGUGGUGACAUAGGUUAUGAACAGCAUGCCUACCUAGGGAGGAGGCAUUGUAGCUACUAAAAUAGGUUGCUCUUGUUCAGUACUUCACAGCAUCACUGAAUUCCAGCUUUGUCAUCUGUAUUUACAUUCAUACUAAGUCUUUUGGGAGUUGUAUUCAUUUUUCUUAUAUAUAACUACUGACACUAGGUUUUUCUGCUCCUUGCUUCUCAGGUGUAGUUGCAUUUACUCUUACUGGCACUCAUAUGCAUUGGAGAGAAGGAAGAGUGCAGCUGCCAUUAACAUUCCCAUUAAUCUGCAGGCUACUGUGACAGUCCAAAAAAUGACCAGAAUUACCAGCCAAUUGGCAUGAUGCUGAUGCAAGUCCUCCAAAUGUGCAGCUGCUGCCCUGGCAUCCAUGGUGAUUUUAAUAGCAGUGGUGGCAUGUAUUAAUUAAAUCAGCAGGGAAACAGCAAGUUUAUGACAUGGCUUAAAGGAAAACUGAAUGUACAUCAUUAAUACAGAGGAGAAAAGACAUUUGGCACAUGUCAGCCUGGACAGACAAUGUCUGCAAAGUCCCGCUUGUUUUCACCUCUGUUACCCUGUAAGGAUGCUUUGCAGACUCUCAGCCCCGGCUCCUCUGCUGCCACAGGCUCACAGCGACUGACAGGAGCACAUGAAGCAGGAGGCUGAUUAAUAUUGACCGCAGGUAGCGCUCCCUGCCACGCCACCACCGCGGAGGCCUUGACAGUUCCAUGACCCUCAUCCUCGCACUGCUCCCCUCCCUCCGGCUGCCUCCCACUCUGCUACUUGAACAAAACAUCACAUCAGCAUUGUUUACUGCAGGAACUCAGCCAAGGAAGUCAUAACAAGACAAUAGACAUACAAUCUGAUAACCUUGUUAGCUCGGUGGAAUCAGAGCUCCUAACAAGUAGAAGAGUUCAGUAAAGCAGAAUAAAAGUAUUACAGUAUUUGUUGUCAAUGGCUUUUCAGCUCCGUCUUUGAAAACGUAGCAUUUCUUGUGCUUUUAUUUAAGAUUAAAGCUAAGCUCAAGGCCACUAAACAAAAUAGAAUGAACAAGGUCAGACAUGACUUAAAAAAAAAAAAAAAACAACAAAAUGAUAACCAGAACAGAGAGACAGACUCCUUCAUUGUGUCCAAACAGCAGCAAGUAAAACUAUAUAAAAAGGAUGAGUUUACCAUUCAAAAAUCACCGUGCAGAAACAAUCUGCAAGGCACUGUUUCUUAUUUUCUUAAGAGCAAGCUGUGACAGUGCCAGAAGUCUGAAAUGAAGGGCAACAUGCAUGAGCACCAUCACAUUAGCAGAUAAAGAGCAAAUUGGUGACCCCAGUCAUGUCAGAGCAGCAUCACUGCUUCUCCAGGCAAGGAGCCAGAACCUCCCAGAUGAUGCCCCCCUUCCCACAGCAGUGUCCUUGCUCUGACCGGUGCCCCAGAACAGGGAAGAAGCCAGAAGUCAGCACUUCUCACACGCUUGCUGCUCUGGGGCCACUUGUCCUGCUAGAGCAUCUGUGUGUGUGUGCAUACUAAUUUGUUACCAGCUGGCCACAAGCCUGGCAAAUGCUGGUUUUAUUCGAUAUAAUGUUCUUUUUUGUUUUGGUUUGGUUUGGUUUGGUUUGGUUUGGUUGGUUUUUUUUGGUGAUGAUCAGAAGCCAUCAUUAAUAGAACUCUUUGUAUUUUUCAUUUUCCAUAACUAUUAAUUUCCUCUCCAUUACCUAGCCAAAUGGUGGCACCUUUCAUUUUAAAGUAUCCUGAGUUAAAGUUCAAUGAAGACCUAAUAAAUACUUUAACAGAAAGUUGUGUGCAUUACUGAAUAAUGUCUGGAAUUCUAGAAAGGGAGAACAUAUUAUCUGUGGUAUUGAAUUUCUUUCCCUGGAGGAAUAAUAUAUC
ensembl:lncRNA